UGCGUAGACGGUAUGUUAAGUUCGUUGUUAAAGGCUCUGGCCUAACCGGAGUAUUGCAAUGAAAAACUGGCGUGCUAGAGGGUGAGAGAGAGAAGUGGAAUUCCUGGAGUAGCGGUAAAAUGCGUGGAUCUCAGGAGGAACACCAAUGGCGAAGGCAGCUUCUUGGCUCAUUCCUGACGUUGAGGCACGAAAGCGUGGGAGCAAACA
rnacentral:rRNA from 1 species